rnacentral:tRNA from 1 species
GUUGGAAUGACUGAUAAAAAGUAAUAAACUGUAAAUUUAUAUAUGAAAAAUAAAAUUUCUUUCAACA